rnacentral:rRNA from 1 species
GUGAGGAAUUUUCCGCAAUGGGCGAAAGCCUGACGGAGCAAUGCCGCGUGAAGGAUGAAUGCCUAUGGGUUGUAAACUUCUUUUCUCAGAAAAGAAUUAUGACGGUAUCUGAGGAAUAAGCAUCGGCUAACUCUGUGCCAGCAGCCGCGGUAAGACAGAGGAUGCAAGCGUUAUCCGGAAUGAUUGGGCGUAAAGCGUCUGUAGGUUGUUUAAAAAGUAUUCUGUCAAAGAUUAGGGCUUAACCCUAGAUAGGCAGAAUAAACUUUUAAGCUAGAGUUUGGUAGAGGCAGAGGAAAUUCCCGGUGGAGCGGUGAAAUGCGUAGAUAUCGGGAGGAACACCAAAGGCGAAGGCACUCUGCUGGGCCAAUACUAACACUGAGAGACGAAAGCGAGGGGAGCAAAUGGGAUUAGAAACCCUGGUAGUCC